UGUCAAGCCCCGGACGAUAUGAUGUUGCCCAACCCCGUCAGGUUCGGAAGAAAGCAGCGGUAAGUGACUAGUAUGGGAUCCGGGUGUCUUGACAUUU
rnacentral:SRP_RNA from 1 species